rnacentral:rRNA from 1 species
UACAGAGGGUGCGAGCGUUGUUCGGAAUUAUUGGGCGUAAAGGGCGCGUAGGCGGUGCCACAAGUCACCUGUGAAAUCCCCGGGCUUAACUCGGGGCCUGCAGGCGAAACUGUGGUGCUGGAGUAUGGGAGAGGUGCGUGGAAUUACCGGUGUAGCGGUGAAAUGCGUAGAUAUCGGUAGGAACACCAGUGGCGAAGGCGGUCUCCUGGGGCACUCUUGACGCUGAGGCGCGAAAGCUGGGGGAGCGAACGGG